rnacentral:rRNA from 1 species
CCUACGGGAGGCAGCAGUAGGGAAUCUUCCACAAUGGACGAAAGUCUGAUGGAGCAACGCCGCGUGAAUGAAGAAGGCCUUCGGGUCGUAAAAUUCUGUUGUCAGAGAAGAACGUGCGUGAGAGUAACUGUUCACGUAUUGACGGUAUCUGACCAGAAAGCCACGGCUAACAUACGUGCC